rnacentral:rRNA from 1 species
AGAGCUAUCUGCUAUGGGGGAUAGAUUAAGUCAUGCAAGUCAAAGUAGUUUCGGCUACUUGGCGGAAUGCUGAGUAACGCGUAGAUAAUCUGCCCUACAGUCAGGGAUAAUCCCGGGAAACUGGGGCUAAACCCUGAUAGCUAUUAUUAGUUGGAAUACGGUAAUAGCGAAAGGCAACGCUGUAGGAUGAGUCUGCGUCCGAUUAGGUCGUUGUUGGGGUAAUGGCCCAACAAGCCGAGGAUCGGUAGGGGCCGUGAGAGCGGUAUCCUCCAGACGCGUACUGAGACAAGGACGCGCGCCUUACGAGGUGCAGCAGGCGCGAAAAUUGACCUAUGCACGAAAGUGUGAGUCAGUAACCCCCAGUGCCAUCCUCACGGAUGGCUUUUGUGAAGUGUAAACAGCUUUUCGAAUAAGUAGAGGGCAAGACCGGUGCCAGCCGCCGCGGUAAAACCGGCUCUACGAGUGGAUAGCGCUAUUACUGGGACUAAAGCGUCCGUAGGCGGAUUGGUGCGUUCCUCAUUAAAGACCUGGUCUUAAGCUAGGAACUCUGAGGAAUACGGCCUUUCUUGGGAACGGAAGAGGUAACCGGUACGUUUGGAGCAGGGGUGAAAUCCUAUAAUCCCAACCGGACCACCGAUGGCGAAGGCAGGUUACUAGGACGUGUCCGACGCUGAUGGACGAAAGCUAGGGUAGCGAGCCGGAUUAGAUACCCGGGUAGUCCUAGCCGUAAACGAUGGCCAUUAAGUGUUUGGGGGCUAAAAGGCCUCCAAGUGCCGAAGCGAANGCGUUAAAUGGCCCUCCUGGGAAGUACGGUCGCAAGACUGAAACUUAA